CAGUCGCCGCGGGAAUACGUAGGUCCCGAGCGUUGUCCGGAUUUAUUGGGCGUAAGCGAGCGCAGGCGGUUAGAUAAGUCUGAAGUUAAAGGCUGUGGCUUAACCAUAGUACGCUUUGGAAACUGUUUAACUUGAGUGCAAGAGGGGAGAGUGGAAUUCCAUGUGUAGCGGUGAAAUGCGUAGAUAUAUGGAGGAACACCGGUGACGAAAGCGGCUCUCUGGCUUGUAACUGACGCUGAGGCUCGAAAGCGUGGGGAGCAAACAGGAUUAGAUACCCCCGUAGUCCCUGUCUCUUAUACAC
rnacentral:rRNA from 1 species